CAGUCGCCGCGGGAAUAUGUAGGGUGCGAGCGUUAAUCGGAAUUACUGGGCGUAAAGCGUGCGCAGGCGGUUCGUUAAGACAGAUGUGAAAUCCCCGGGCUUAACCUGGGAACUGCGUUUGUGACUGGCGAGCUAGAGUAUGGCAGAGGGGGGUAGAAUUCCACGUGUAGCAGUGAAAUGCGUAGAGAUGUGGAGGAAUACCGAUGGCGAAGGCAGCCCCCUGGGCCAAUACUGACGCUCAUGCACGAAAGCGUGGGGAGCAAACAGGAUUAGAUACCCCCGUAGUCCCUGUCUCUUAUAC
rnacentral:rRNA from 1 species